rnacentral:rRNA from 1 species
GCAUAAUUUUUUGUGAUGCAUUUACUUGAUUGGUGCUUGGGGAUGUUUGAGGCAGAUUUGUUUCCGCCGUUUUGAGGCCAGCUUGCUGGUACCCAAACGGUGUUAGCAUUUUUUGUCUUGGACAUUUGAGUAUGGCUCACGUGUAUUUAUUGGACMGAUCUGAGUGUAAGUUACGGUCGCAUGCGACACGUGCUUUUCAAUUAGUUCGGUCCAGUUAAUGCUCUCGUACUCGUUCCCCAUGUAAAAGCCGGUCAUCUAUCCGACCCGUCUUGAAACACGGACCAAGGAGUUUAUCGUGUGCGCAAGUUUUUGGGUGUUAAAAACUUAAAAGCGAAAUGAAAGUAAAUGACUCUUUAGAGUCUGAUGUGCGAUCUUGUAAAAAAGUGUAGCAUGGCCCCAUUCUAACUGUUUACAGUAGGGUGGCGGAAGAGCGUACGCGGUGAGACCCGAAAGAUGGUGAACUAUUCCUGAGCAGGACGAAGCCAGAGGAAACUCUGGUGGAAGUCCGAAGCGGUUCUGACGUGCAAAUCGAUCGUCUGACUUGGGUAUAGGGGCGAAAGACUAAUCGAACCAUCUAGUAGCUGAU